rnacentral:lncRNA from 1 species
UUUCCUGAUUAGGAGUUUCUUCGUGUUUUAAAGUGCUUUUUAGAUCUAAAACUGCCCCAAGUUUCAAACUUUAUGGAUGGCCUCCACAGUGUUUUAUGCAAUUCUUGAAGUUGGAAUCUUUUGUUUCUAAAAGUAGGGUGCAUUUAAUGGCUGUACAUGGUAUUUUAUGCAUCAGUUUACACUUUACAUAGUCUAGUUUUUUUGUCUCCCUUUUUUCUAUAUAAGAAAUGUAUGAUUUUGUAGCCAUAUAUGUUAAGCAUUUGUAAUGCACAAGAAAUUGACAUGAUUUCAGGAAAAACAUUUGUGGAAUUAAGAAUUGAACUGUGGUUGCCAUAAUUGCU